UACGGAGGGUGCAAACGUUGCUCGGAAUCAUUGGGCGUAAAGCGCAUGUAGGCGGCAUGUUAAGUCGGGUGUGAAAGCCCAAGGCUCAACCUUGGAAGUGCAUUCGAAACUGGCGUGCUUGAAUAUGGACGAGGGUCGCGGAAUUCCCGGUGUAGAGGUGAAAUUCGUAGAUAUCGGGAGGAACACCAGUGGCGAAGGCGGCGACCUGGGCCAAUAUUGACGCUAAGAUGCGAAAGCGUGGGGAGCAAACAGG
rnacentral:rRNA from 1 species